CCCUUAGACGUUCUGGGCCGCACGCGCGCUACACUGAACAGUUCAACAAGUCUUAACCUUGGCCGAUAGGUCUGGGUAAUCUUUGAACGCUGUUCGUGAUUGGGAUAGACCUUUGCAAUUAUGGGUCUUCAACGAGGAAUUCCUAGUAAACGCAAGUCAUCAGCUUGCAUUGAUUACGUCCCUGCCCUUUGUACACACCGCCCGUCGCACCUACCGAUUGAACGUUUUAGUGAGGUAUUUGGACUGGACCUUCGGAGGUUCGCGCCUCCGUUGCUGUUCGGGAAGACUCCCAAACUUGAGCGUUUAGAGGAAGUAAAAGUCGUAACA
rnacentral:rRNA from 1 species